ACUCAAAUGAAUUGACGGGGACCCGCACAACCUGUGGAGCGUGUGGUUCAAUUCGAUACAAAACGAAAGACCUCACCAGGGCUUGACAUGCAAUCGUUUAUUCCUCUGGAAACAGAGGGAAAUCCCCUCAAGGGUAAAGUGUUUACUUUUGAGGGGGAUGAUUGCACAGGUGCUGCAUGGCUGUCGUCAGCUCGUGCCGUGAGGUGUUCCCUUAAGUGGGGAAACGAGCGCAACCCCCAUCUAAUGUUAUAUUAUUCAUUAGAGACUGACCUUGUUUUACAAGGAAGGAAGGAGGGGUAGAUGUCAAGUCAGCAUGGCCCUUAUGCCCUGGGCUACACACACACUACAAUGGCGAAAAACAACGAGCUGCAAGCUAGUAAUAGCAAGCUAAUCUCUCAAAUUUCGCCUCAGUUCAGAUUGAGGUCUGCAACUCGACCUCAUGAAGUCGGAAUAGGUAGUAAUCGCGGAUCAGCAAGCCGCGGUGAAUACGUUCUCGGGUCUUGUACACACCGCCCGU
rnacentral:rRNA from 1 species